GAUCCUGGCUCAGAACGAACGUUGGCGGCGUGGAUGAGGCAUGCAAGUCGAACGUGAAAAGCCGCAAGGUGAGUAGCGUGGCGGACGGGCGAGUAACACGUAACCAAGCUGCCUGCGAGACGGGGAUAACCUCGGGAAACCGAGGCUAAGACCCGAUGGUCUGCCGGGGACGCAUGUUCCUGGUAGUAAAUGGGCGGGAUCCUUCGGGAUCGCCUGCUCGCAGAGGUGGUUGCGGCCCAUCAGCUAGUUGGUAGGGUAAUGGCCUACCAAGGCAACGACGGGUAGCCGGCCUUAGAGGGUGGUCGGCCGCACUGGGACUGAGACACUGCCCAGACUCCUACGGGAGGCUGCAGUCGAGAAUCUUCCGCAAUGGGCGAAAGCCUGACGGAGCGACGCCGCGUGGAGGACGAAGGCC
rnacentral:rRNA from 1 species